AUAUAAAUGAUGAGUGUUUUGAUAAUAAUAAUGCAUUUUCAUCUCUGAUACAACCCUAAUCUACUCAGUUUAUACUAGAACAAGUACAGUUUAACAGAAUAUUUCCAUCUGGUUGCUUACAGACCCGCUGCCCCUCCAAAUCCUAGCUUCACUCUCUGUUGUUCAGUAUGGAACAAAAUGAUUUACGCAUUCUGAUCAAACUUUCACUGCUGUUUUAUAGAUCAGUGUCUUGCCUCGCUUCACUGAUGUGCAAAUGAAGCUCAUCCAGAAAGAAUUACCCAAGAAAGAAUUAAGAAAAUUGAAGUCAGAAUAUCUGCACUUCGAUCACUUGCAAAUAAGGAAGAUCUGCAUGCACGUGUUCUCUAAAGAUAAUGUUGAACAGAUCCAGAAACCAUUUUGGCAGCUGCAGGUCCCUUGUCUGAAAUCCUUUCGGAAGCUUGAGUGCAAAGCAAGCACAGUACUAGUGAUGGAUGCAAAUGGGUAUCUUAAGGAUAACGGUGGAUAUGGCAUCUUCAAAAACGGUGGCAUUAUGGUAAGCACCUGCAUGUAAUUUAUGAAACAAUACGUGAUAGUUCUCAGUAGAAUGUGUUUGUAUCUCUGAAGAUUUAUCUGAUCACUUAAUGUUCUUCUAAAAUGUUGAAGGUAAGAGGAUUGCUCUGUAUCCUGCAGCAUUUUAAAGUCUGAAACAGUGUGCAACUACAGUUUACUUAGCAGUGACUUUUUUCAUGUUAAAAAAAGUAAAUGUAACUUUUUAGGAAAAUAAGCUAUUUUAGAGUAGUAGUUCAAUGCCAUUUAUGGCUCUCUGCUUCUGAGUCUGUUUCUCUGAAUACUUACAACUGAAUAUUUUCAAACUGCAUUUGAAAAAAAAAUCUGAUUUUUGUUUUUUUUUGCAUUCAAACUGAGUGCUCUAACUAACCUUCAGUGACACAUUUUACCACUAUGCAUGUAACUGUUCUAACAGGCAUUAUCAGAAACAACCCAACUUUGCAGAAGAUACAAAACAUAUACAUAUUUGUUGACAAAUUAAUCAUAUUUGGAGGGUUUUAAUCCUUGUAUUGAUUUUAUAUAUAUAUACACACAUUAUUUUUAUUACACAUAUAUAUAUAUAUAAAACGGUAACAUAUUAAAUUACUGGUACUUUUUUGUUGGACGUCGAUCACACUAUUUGAAUAAUGUACACAAUUAGAUAAUCCAAGUAGAAACACCAGUGGAAAUUUUACUGUAACUACAGUCCAGUCUAGUAAAAGUGGUUCCUUUUAAUUUAGUCUUUGAAAUAGUUUAGGCCAGCAAUUCCUCAGGCAAAAAAUCUUGUUUCCACCAAACCCAGUUAUGUUUUUAUUCGUGUAUAUAUAGAUUUAUUGAAAUUCACAAAAAAAUUGUGCCUCUGUUUUUCUUCCUCCUCUUUGAAUUCCUGGUGGUCCUUACUGCAAGGAGACAGUUUUGCUAACAGCAGGCAGUUCUUAAAGAUUUUUCUUAGGAAUAUUUUGAGGUCUUGCGUAUGUAUACGUGGUGUAGCAAAGAGGUGCAGAGACUGAACUUUCUGCAGAUGAGCUGGUUCCAGAACUGAGGCGGCUGUUCCAGCAGCAUGCUACCUUCAGCAAAAUUAGGGUUUUGAGCUCCAAGAACUCUUAAAAUUAACAUGCCAUGCUUGUAACUGCAGUGGCUCAGGAGUUGAUUCACAAGCAGAUUAGGUUUUAAUUGAAUGGACAACGUUAAGGUCUGAGUGGUAACAGUGUUUGGUCUGCUGCGUGUGUGUCAGAGCUGUUAGCCCCCAGCUCGGGUGCACAGUCGUGCUGACACGGGCACCUGCAUGGGCACCUGGUGAGAUGUGCAAAGCUUUUGUGUCCUGCUGAGGUAGGAGUACCAGCCUGGUUGAUGCAGUCUAGUUGCACUGUACUCAUUUUCACGGUAUAGUCACGCUCCAAAACUUAAAAGUUACCUAAGGCUGCAUUAAUUAAAACAUGAGUAUCUUCACUAAGCUAGUAGAAGAGGAAACACUGAGAACGCCUGGUAGAUGAACUCCUCUGAGGUCUGUGACCAGAUAGAUGAUACUCCAGAGGCCUGAUAUAAAGCGCACGUAUAAAACCUGCUUUAAGACAGUUUCUGAAACAAUUAGUGUGAGCCCUCUUCCCAUUUGAAAUUAGUUUGAUAUGAAAGUGAUUAAUGGUGAUGUUAUUUAGCAUCUAUUUCUGCCACACUCAGCUUUUCAUUUUUACUUUCUAGUAGGGUGGAAGAGUUAAUCUGACCCUCAAAGUGGUGUGCACACUUUCCAGUGCCAAAAUACAAACCAACAGCUCUAAUGUACAUACUAGGUUCCUCAAGCUGCACUGAACAAGUGUGUGUGCUAGACAGAUGAAUAAAAGCUUAAAUAUCUGUUUAGAUAUGUUUAUA
rnacentral:lncRNA from 1 species